CACGUAGGGGCCAAGCGUUGUCCGGAUUUAUUGGGCGUAAAGAGCUCGUAGGCGGUUGGGUAAGUCGGGGUGUGAAAACUCCCGGGCUCAACUCGGAGACGCCACCCGAUACUGCUCUGACUUGAGUCCGGUAGGGGAGUGGGGAAUUCCUGGUGUAGCGGUGAAAUGCGCAGAUAUCAGGAGGAACACCGGUGGCGAAGGCGCCACUCUGGGCCGGAACUGACGCUGAGGAGCGAAAGCGUGGGUAGCAAACAGG
rnacentral:rRNA from 1 species